UACGUAGGGUGCAAGCGUUAAUCGGAAUUACUGGGCGUAAAGCGUGCGCAGGCGGUUAUGUAAGACAGGUGUGAAAUCCCCGGGCUUAACCUGGGAACUGCAUUUGUGACUGCAUAGCUAGAGUACGGCAGAGGGGGAUGGAAUUCCGCGUGUAGCAGUGAAAUGCGUAGAUAUGCGGAGGAACACCGAUGGCGAAGGCAAUCCCCUGGGCCUGUACUGACGCUGAGGUGCGAAAGCGUGGGGAGCAAACAGG
rnacentral:rRNA from 1 species